CUUCUGUGUAUAAAUAUAUUCAGUACUUAUGAAAAGUACUUAUUCCUACUAUCCAUCUUCUGUUGUCACUGAAGUCUCCCUCAGGUCUUGGCAUAAAAAGUGUUAGCCAUUGGCAUGAGAGCAAUGUGACAUUUCAAGCACAACACAAUGAUAAACAUUGAUAAAGCUUUAUCAUUUUUUCACAAACAUACUUGAGACAGGGUUAUUCUUGCCAUUGUGGCUUUAGAACUUAACUGCCCGCUCAUUUGUCAAGUCUAAUUCCUUUGGGCUUUUUCAACUCUACCACCCUCUAUUAGAACUUAUCCUUAAUAACUGCCACUCUCCUACUUUCCUCUAGU
rnacentral:lncRNA from 1 species